rnacentral:rRNA from 1 species
CAGUAGCCACGGGAAAACGUAGGGCGCAAGCGUUAUCCGGAAUUAUUGGGCGUAAAGAGCUCGUAGGCGGUUUGUCGCGUCUGCCGUGAAAGUCCGGGGCUCAACCCCGGAUCUGCGGUGGGUACGGGCAGACUAGAGUGAUGUAGGGGAGACUGGAAUUCCUGGUGUAGCGGUGAAAUGCGCAGAUAUCAGGAGGAACACCGAUGGCGAAGGCAGGUCUCUGGGCAUUAACUGACGCUGAGGAGCGAAAGCAUGGGGAGCGAACAGGAUUAGAUACCCCGGUAGUCCCUGUCUCUUAUAC